GGGCAGGUUCCAGAGUGGCCAAAUGGGGCGGACUGUAAAUCCGCUGAUUCGUCUUCAUAGGUUCGAAUCCUAUCCUGCCCA
rnacentral:tRNA from 2 species